AAGUGAGAAGCAAUUCUUGCAAUCAGUUUCGACCUGAUCUUAGAUAGUAAAAUCUAUCCUCACUAU
rnacentral:tRNA from 1 species